CCUACGGGAGGCAGCAGUAGGGAAUAUUGCUCAAUGGGGGAAACCCUGAAGCAGCAACGCCGCGUGGAGGAUGAAGGUUUUCGGAUUGUAAACUCCUUUUGUUAGAGAAGAUAAUGACGGUAUCUAACGAAUCAGCACCGGCUAACUCCGUGCCAGCAGCCGCGGUAAUACGGAGGGUGCAAGCUUUACUCGGAAUCACUGGGCGUAACGAGCGCGUAGGCGGGAUAGCAAGUCAGAUGUGAAAUCGUAUGGCUGAACCAUAGAACUGCAUUUGAAACUGUUAUUCUAGAGUAUGGGAGAGGUAGGUGGAAUGCGUGGUGUAGGGGUAAAAUCCGUAGAGAUCAAUAGGAAGACGCAUUGCGAAGGCGACCUGCUAGAACAUAACUGACGCUGAUGCGCGAAAGCGUGGGGAGCAAACAGGAGUAGAUACCCGAGUAGUC
rnacentral:rRNA from 1 species